GAUUUCCUACGGGAGGCAGCAGUAGGGAAUCUUCCACAAUGGGCGCAAGCCUGAUGGAGCAACACCGCGUGAGUGAAGAAAGGUUUCGGCUCGUAAAGCUCUGUUGUUGGAGAAGAACGUGCGUGAGAGCAACUGUUCACGCAGUGACGGUAUCCAACCAGAAAGUCACGGCUAACUACGUGCCAGCAGCCGCGGUAAUACGUAGGUGGCAAGCGUUAUCCGGAUUUAUUGGG
rnacentral:rRNA from 1 species